GAGGGUAUAGCUCAAGUGGUAGAGCACAUGCUUAGGAUGCACUGAGGUCCUGGGUUCAAUUCCCAGUACCUCCU
rnacentral:tRNA from 1 species